rnacentral:ncRNA from 1 species
UACGUUCUCGGGUUUUGUACACACCGCCCGUCACGCCAAGGGAGCCGGCAAUACCCGAAGCUCUUCCCUUUGGGAGGAAUCAAGGUAGGGUCGGUGACAGGGGCGAAGUCGUAACAAGGCACCGGUAGCGGAAGCUGUCGGUGGAUCACCUCCUUU